rnacentral:misc_RNA from 1 species
GAUGAAGAACGCAGCGAAAUGCGAUAAGUAGUGUGAAUUGCAGAAUUCAGUGAAUCAUCGAAUCUUUGAACGCACCUUGCGCCCUUUGGCUAUUCCGAAGGGCAUGCCUGUUUGAGUAUCAUGGACACCUCAACCCUCAUGGUUUGCCAUGAUGGGCUUGGACUUUGGGGGUCUUGCUGGAUUGUAGUCAGCUCCCCUUAAAUGAAUCAGCUUGCCAGUGUUUGGUGGCAUCACAGGUGUGAUAAAUAUCUACGCUUGUGGUUUUACAUCAGAUAACCUUCAGUGAUGGAGGUUCACUGGAGCUCAUAAAGGUGUCUCUCCUCUGUGAGGACAGCUCUUUGAAUGUUUGAUCUCAAAUCAGGCAGGACUACCCGCUGAACUUAAGCAUAUCAAUAAGCGGAGGA